rnacentral:rRNA from 1 species
UACGUAGGGUGCAAGCGUUGUCCGGAAUUAUUGGGCGUAAAGGGUAGGUAGGUGGUCUCAAUUGUCUGGGGUGAAAGCCUUGAGCUUAACUCAAGAAGUGCCCUAGAAACGGUGAGACUGGAGUCCUGGAGAGGGUCGUGGAAUUCCCGGUGUAGCGGUGAAAUGCGUAGAGAUCGGGAGGAACACCAGAGGCGAAGGCGGCGACCUGGACAGGUACUGACACUCAACUACGAAAGCGUGGGGAGCAAACAGG